AUCAGAACCAUCUCUGAGUGCAGA
rnacentral:snRNA from 1 species